rnacentral:tRNA from 2 species
GGGGUGUUAGCUCAGCUUGGUUAGAGUGCCUGCCUGUCACGCAGGAGGUCGCGAGUUCAAGUCUCGUACACCCCG